AACAAUUUUUAAUUGCACAGCGAAUAAAAGGACGGCCAAGGGUGUAUGCUUGGAGUUGAUACGAAACAAACAAAAAUUGAAAAAUUGAAAUUGCGUAAAGAGAAACAACAGUCAGUCCUUGAACCAGACAUAACUGGACAUUUGAAAAUUGAUCGACUUCCAGUAAUUGUUAUAACACCGAAUGUAGAACAGUUGUUAAGAGUUCCAAAACUUGAUUCGGAUACGAGAUAUGAAAUAAGUUCUGCUGUAUAUGACACUCUAGAGAAAUGGUCUUUAUUAGACAAAGUACAGGUUUUUGUAUUUGAUACAACUGCUAGUAACACAGGUCGAUUAAACGGUGCAUGUCAAAUAUUAGAGCAAAAACUGAUCGUGAUAUUUUAUACUUGGUAUGUAGGCAUCAUGUGUAUGAAAUAGUUCUGCAAGGUGUAUUUACUGAAGUAAAAUUAGCAACAAGUACAGGGCCAGAUAUUUCAUUAUUUAAAAAGUUCAGAAAAGAAUGGAACACUAUAGAUACAAAUUCAUAUUCAAUAUGGUCUACCGAUAAAAAUUUGAAUGAUAUUUUAAAAGACGUUGCUGACGAAACAAUACAAUUUUGUAUAAAUAAAAUUAAAGAAGAUUUGCCUAGAGAUGACUAUAAAGAAUUUCUUGAAUUAAUAAUAAUAUUUUUAGGAGGUAUGCCAUCAUGGAGGAUACGUUUUAUAGCUCCAGGUGCUUAUCAUCUUGCACUAUGGAUGGCAAAAGCGUUGUAUUGUUUAAAAAUAUUUUUAUUUCGAUAACAAUUCAAAAUUACGCAACGUGAAGAAAAGGCAUUAAAAAGAUUAUGUUGUUUUAUUAUUAAGUGCUAUGCAAAAUCAUGGUUUUUAACUCCAAACGAAAUUACAGCUCCAAUGAAUGAUAUAAUGUUUCUAAAAAAAUUAGAACUGUAUAAAAUAAACGAUAAAGAAGUAGCAGAAAAGCAAUAAUGAAAUUUAUAAAUCAUUUAUGGUAUUUGAGUGAAGAGUGUUCUGCUUUUUCAAUAUUUGAUGAAAGAUUAAGUAUUGACGCACGAUUGAAAAUGGCUGAAAAAUUUUGCAAGAACAACCUGAAAGAGAACCACAAAAAAAUUACAUUGUGAAGUUUGAAGAUGUACAACACUUUCUCGAUAAAGAUUUACCUUUGGAUUUGUUAGGUCCCAAUUCCAAAAAUGUAUUCAAAAGAUUCAAUAUUCCUGAAGAUUUUUUAAAAGUUCAACCAGAAAAGUGGCAUGAAUUAGAAGAGUACCAGAAAGGAAAAAGCAUAUUAAAUUCAAUAAAGGCAGUCAAUGAUAUGGCAGAACGAGGAGUCUAACUUAUGCAAGAAUAUAACGACAAGUUUAUAACAAAUGAAAAUCAAAAACAAUUUGUUUUACAGGUGGUUCAAGAUUACAGAAAACAAUAUCCUGAAUUUACUCGAUAUACUCUUAAGAAACCAUAUACCUACUUAACGGUAUCGUUCAUGGUCACAUACGACAUCAUCGCACACGUGCUAACAAUUUCACAGGAA